rnacentral:rRNA from 1 species
UACGUAGGGUGCGAGCGUUGUCCGGAAUUAUUGGGCGUAAAGAGCUCGUAGGCGGUUUGUCGCGUCUGCCGUGAAAGUCCGGGGCUCAACUCCGGAUCUGCGGUGGGUACGGGCAGACUAGAGUGAUGUAGGGGAGACUGGAAUUCCUGGUGUAGCGGUGAAAUGCGUAGAUAUCUGGAGGAACACCGGUGGCGAAGGCGGCACUCUGGGCCGGAACUGACGCUGAGGAGCGAAAGCGUGGGGAGCGAACAGG